rnacentral:rRNA from 1 species
UUUUGUGCUAUUUUCAAAACGGAGGAAAAGAAACCAACCGGGAUUGCCUUAGUAACGGCGAGUGAAGCGGCAAAAGCUCAAAUUUGAAAUCUGGUACCUUCGGUGCCCGAGUUGUAAUUUGUAGAAGGCGACUCUGGGGCUGGUCCUUGUCUAUGUUCCUUGGAACAGGACGUCAUGGAGGGUGAAAAUCCCGUAUGGCGAGGAUCCCAGUUCUUUGUAGAGUGCCUUCGAAGAGUCGAGUUGUUUGGGAAUGCAGCUCUAAGUGGGUGGUAAAUUCCAUCUAAAGCUAAAUAUUGGCGAGAGACCGAUAGCGAACAAGUACAGUGAUGGAAAGAUGAAAAGAACUUUGAAAAGAGAGUGAAAAAGUACGUGAAAUUGUUGAAAGGGAAGGGCAUUUGAUCAGACAUGGUGUUUUGCGCCCCUCGCCUCUCGUGGGUGGGGGAAUCUCGCAGCUCACUGGGCCAGCAUCAGUUUUGGCGGCAGGAUAAAUCCCUGGGAAUGUAGCUCUACCACUUCGUGGCGGACGAACUUAUAGUCCAGGGGAAUACUGCCAGCUGGGACUGAGGAAUGCGACUUUUUUAGUCAAGGAUGCUGGCAUAAUGGUUAUAUGCCGCCCGUCUUGAACACCCGAAACAAAAAAAA